GGAGGAGGAGGUAAAGCGGAAAGCAGUGAGGCACAAGUGAACGAUUUCCUCUGUAGGCGUUGUGCCGAUAAGACGUGUGUGCAUCAAGAUGUGUCUGUCCGCCGCUUUGCCGCGAUAUACGAGUGCUGGUGUGUGUCAUUCUUCUCAUGGCAUUGUUGUUGUAGGUAUGAAGCAGUGUGUACACCAAGGGAGGACGUCUGGUCAUGCCGCCCAUCCCCUAAACAUGGGCAUAUGUCUCGGGCGUCAGUCACUCAGGCGAUGGAGCACGUCCCGCCACAAGUCUAUCACCGGUGCGGCGUCCCAACUUGGUGGAGCCACAUCUGUUUACCCAGGCGAACUCGUUAGCCACAGCAGCGUUCGAGUCCGACCUGUACCCGCUGAAGUGUGAGAAGCCCCGGCAUUCUGUUGCCGCUCCUCCUCAUCCGUGCAGGUCGUCCUCUUCAGAAGAGGACGCAGACCGCGGAGGCGUGCGGUCCGGCACAAGUCCUGCCACUACAGAAGGGAGAACCAAACCAGCGUGUCCAAACCCGCCCCUCCCAACCUGCAGCAAGAAACUGGUAGACGGCCGUCUGACAACACAAGGAGCCAUCCAGGGAAGAACAGACUGCCUCGCUUCAUCUGAACUAACAAAUAAAUGUUGCCAGUCACUCUUCUAAUGUCUUUAUUCCUUCUAAUGUGAAUGUACGCACAAAACUAAUACAUUUUGCCAAUCACUUUGCUUGUGAUGUUUUUAUUCCUGUCUAAUGUGAAUGUAUGCACAUAACCAAUACAUUUUGCUAUCACUUUGUAAUGUCAUUCCUUCCAUCUAAUGUGAAUGUGCCCACGUAAGUGUAAUGUUAUUCCUGUUCUGUGAUGUACCCACAUAACUGGUAUUAGUACUGAAUAAUAAAUCCAUUUUAAGAAAA
rnacentral:misc_RNA from 1 species